rnacentral:rRNA from 1 species
GGCGCACGGGUGCGUAACGCGUAUGCAACCUACCUCUGACUGGGAGAUAGCCCCGAGAAGUCGGGAUUAAUACCCCAUAACAACCGGGAAUCGCAUGGUUUCCGGUUAAAAGUUCCGGCGGUUGGAGAUGGGCAUGCGUGACAUUAGCUAGUUGGUGAGGUAACGGCUCACCAAGGCAACGAUGUCUAGGGGUUCUGAGAGGAGAUUCCCCCACACUGGUACUGAGACACGGACCAGACUCCUACGGGAGGCAGCAGUAAGGAAUAUUGGGCAAUGGACGCAAGUCUGACCCAGCCAUGCCGCGUGCAGGAUGACGGCCCUACGGGUUGUAAACUGCUUUUGUACGGGAAAAAACCCCUGGUCGUGAACCGGGGCUGAUGGUACCGUGCGAAUAAGCAUCGGCUAACUCCGUGCCAGCAGCCGCGGUAAUACGGAGGAUGCAAGCGUUAUCCGGAUUCAUUGGGUUUAAAGGGUGCGCAGGCGGGAUGGUAAGUCAGUGGUGAAAUCCUACGGCUCAACUGUAGAACUGCCAUUGAUACUGCCGUCCUUGAGUAUAGUUGA